AUUGAACGCUGGCGGCAGGCCUAACACAUGCAAGUCGAACGGUAACAGGAAGAAGCUUGCUUCUUUGCUGACGAGUGGCGGACGGGUGAGUAAUGUCUGGGAAACUGCCUGAUGGAGGGGGAUAACUACCGGAAACGGUAGCUAAUACCGCAUAACGUCGCAAGACCAAAGAGGGGGACCUUCGGGCCUCUUGCCAUCGGAUGUGCCCAGAUGGGAUUAGCUAGUAGGUGGGGUAACGGCUCACCUAGGCGACGAUCCCUAGCUGGUCUGAGAGGAUGACCAGCCACACUGGAACUGAGACACGGUCCAGACGCCUACGGGAGGCAGCAGUGGGGAAUAUUGCACAAUGGGCGCAAGCCUGAUGCAGCCAUGCCGCGUGUAUGAAGAAGGCCUUCGGGUUGUAAAGUACUUUCAGCGGGGAGGAAGGGAGUAAAGUUAAUACCUUUGCUCAUUGACGUUACCCGCAGAAGAAGCACCGGCUAACUCCGUG
rnacentral:rRNA from 1 species